rnacentral:rRNA from 1 species
GCUUUACACAUGCAAGUCGAACGGCAGCACGGACUUCGGUCUGGUGGCGAGUGGCGAACGGGUGAGUAAUAUAUCGGAACGUAUCCAAUAAUGGGGGAUAACUAAUCGAAAGGUUGGCUAAUACCGCAUACGCCCUACGGGGGAAAGCUAGGGACCUUCGGGCCUGGCGUUAAUGGAGCGGCCGAUAUCUGAUUAGCUAGUUGGUGGGGUAAAAGCCCACCAAGGCGACGAUCAGUAGCUGGUCUGAGAGGACGACCAGCCACACUGGAACUGAGACACGGUCCAGACUCCUACGGGAGGCAGCAGUGGGGAAUUUUGGACAAUGGGCGCAAGCCUGAUCCAGCCAUUCCGCGUGAGUGAAGAAGGCCUUCGGGUUGUAAAGCUCUUUCGCAAGGGAAGAAAGAUUGCUCUCUAACAUAGAGUGAUUAUGACGGUACCUUGAUAAGAAACCCCGGCUAACUCCGUGCCAGCAGCCGCGGUAAUACGGAGGGGGUUAGCGUUGUUCGGAAUUACUGGGCGUAAAGCGCGCGUAGGCGGAUUGGAAAGUUGGGGGUGAAAUCCCGGGGCUCAACCUCGGAACUGCCUCCAAAACUCCCAGUCUUGAGUUCGAGAGAGGUGAGUGGAACUCCGAGUGUAGAGGUGAAAUUCGUAGAUAUUCGGAAGAACACCAGUGGCGAAGGCGGCUCACUGGCUCGAUACU